rnacentral:rRNA from 1 species
AACGAUGUCUACUAGUCGUUGGGUCCCUUGAGGACUUAGUGACGCAGCUAACGCAAUAAGUAGACCGCCUGGGGAGUACGGCCGCAAGGUUAAAACUCAAAUGAAUUGACGGGGGCCCGCACAGCGGUGGAGCAUGUGGUUUACUUCGAUGCAACGCGAAGAACCUUACCUGGUCUUGACAUACACAGAAUCUUGUAGAGAUACGAGAGUGCCUUCGGGAAUUGUGAUACAGGUGCUGCAUGGCUGUCGUCAGCUNGUGUCGUGAGAUGUUGGGUUAAGUCCCGCAACGAGCGCAACCCUUGUCCUUAGUUACCAGCGGGUUAAGCCGGGAACUCUAAGGAUACUGCCAGUGACAAACUGGAGGAAGGCGGGGACGACGUCAAGUCAUCAUGGCCCUUACGACCAGGGCUACACACNUGCUACAAUGGUAGGUACAGAGGGCAGCUACACAGCGAUGUGAUGCGAAUCUCAAAAAGCCUAUCGUAGUCCAGAUUGGAGUCUGCAACUCGACUCCAUGAAGUAGGAAUCGCUAGUAAUCGCGGAUCAGAAUGCCGCGGUGAAUACGUUCCCGGGCCUUGUACACACCGCCCGUCACACCAUGGGAGUUGAUUGCACCAGAAGUGGUUAGCCGAACCUUUUAGGACGGCGAUC